UACGUAGGGUGCAAGCGUUGUCCGGAAUUAUUGGGCGUAAAGGGCUCGUAGGCGGUUUGUCACGUCGGGAGUGAAAACUCAGGGCUUAACCCUGAGCCUGCUUCCGAUACGGGCAGACUAGAGGUAUGCAGGGGAGAACGGAAUUCCUGGUGUAGCGGUGAAAUGCGCAGAUAUCAGGAGGAACACCGGUGGCGAAGGCGGUUCUCUGGGCCUUACCUGACGCUGAGGAGCGAAAGCGUGGGGAGCGAACAGG
rnacentral:rRNA from 1 species